GCAAGUCGAACGCGAAAUUUUUUCUUCGGAAGAAAGAGUAGAGUGGCGCACGGGUGAGUAACGCGUAAGUUAUCUACCCUGGCAUCUGGAAUAACUCACCGAAAGGUGUGCUAAUACCGGAUACGUUGGAUUUAUCCAAGAAAGGUGGCCUCUUCAUGAAAGCUACUGUGCUGGGAGGAGCUUGCGUACCAUUAGCUAGUUGGUAGGGUAAAGGCCUACCAAGGCGACGAUCCAUAGCUGGUCUGAGAGGAUGAUC
rnacentral:rRNA from 1 species